AUUGAACGCUGGCGGCAGGCCCAACACAUGCAAGUCGAACGAGUGGCGGACGGGUGAGUAAUGUCUGGGAAACUGCCUGAUGGAGGGGGAUAACUACUGGAAACGGUAGCUCAUACCGCAUCCCAUCAAAUGUGCCCAGAUGGGAGUAGCUUGGUGGUGGGGUAACGGCUCACCAAGGCGACGAUCCCUAGCUGGUAUGAUAGGAUGCCCAGCCACCCUGGUACUGAUCCACGGUCCAGACUCCUACGUGUGGCAGCAGUGGGGAAGAUUGCACAAGGGGCGCAUUCCUGAUGCAGCCAUGCCGCGUGUAUGAAGAAGGCCUGUGGGUUGUAAAGUACUUUCAGCGGUGAGGCGUUACCCGCAGAAGCGGCACCGGCUAACUCCGUGCCAGCAGCCGCGGUAAUAG
rnacentral:rRNA from 1 species